GCAUCUGGUUGGUGGAUGCGUCCAUGUGUGGGGAGGUUGGUGCAUCCUGACUCUGCAGAAACAGAAGCUUCUGUGCUUGGGACGCUUCUGGACCUCGCCCUGUGUACCUCUUCCGCUGCUUUUCAUUUGUACCCUUUAUAAUAUUCUUUACAGGAAACUGAGGAAACGCCACGUGAGCACUCGGUGAGAAGGCGGCCCUCUGCAAACCAAGGAGGGAGGCCUCACCACAAACCAAGCCUGCUGCCAUCUUGCUCUUACACUUCCAGCCUUGAACUUCCAGAACUGUGAGAAGAUGCAGUAAGGCUUCUGGUUUCCUGUCCUGCUGGAGUGAUGAUGAUGGUGAUGCUGAUGACAAUUACAACAGUAAAGUGAUGAAUCUUUAUGGAGUAAAUCAGUGUUUAUGCAUGACGUCUCCUCUGAUCCCAACAACACGAUACGAGAUAGACAUCAAAUCCCCAUUUUCCAUGAAGACAAACAAUCUCAAGGUGGUGACUUCAGGUCACACAGCCAAAUGCUGAAGUGUUUUUGAAGCAAAGUGGAGUAUUACAUUUUUCAAGUGGGAAAAAAAAAAAGGGAACAUCCCUCUCGGGAUUUUGGCUCAAGGGAAAAAGAGAAACAGCCACGCAGAACAGAGGAGGGCCCCAAACCCGAGAGGACAGGCUACCGGAGGAGGUCUUCAACAGUGCUGCACUGCAAGAGCCAGAACAGGCUUCCUGAAGCCGGGCCCACACUGCGUCCUCGUGGUUUUAUAGCUGAGAAAACUGAACAGGGAGCAGCUAGCAGUUUGGGCCAGUGCCACAGCAAGGCAGCAAGAAAGCUGGAAUCCAACGGAAACGUCUCACACUCGACGGUGGACUUUCUGUA
rnacentral:lncRNA from 1 species